GACGAACGCUGGCGGCGUGCUUAACACAUGCAAGUCGAACGGUGAAGCGCCUUCCUUUUUGGUGGGUGUGGAUGAGUGGCGAACGGGUGAGUAACACGUGAGUAACCUGCCCCCUUCUUCUGGAUAACCGCAUGAAAGUGUGGCUAAUACGGGAUAUUCUGGGUCUGUCGCAUGAUGGGUCUGGGACAGAUAUUGUUUCGGUGGGGGAUGGGCUCGCGGCCUAUCAGCUUGUUGGCGGGGUGAUGGCCUACCAAGGCGGUGACGGGUAGCCGGCCUUGGAGGGUGGCCGGUCAAACGGGGACUGCGACACGGCCCAGACUCCUACGGGAGGCAGCAGGGGGGAAUAUUGCACAAUGGGCUCAAGCCUGAUGCAGCGACGCCGCGUGAGGGAUGGAGGCCUUCGGGUUGUGAACCUCUUUCGCCAGUGAAGCAGGCCUGCCUCGUUUGUGGGUGGGUUGACGGUAGCUGGAUAAGAAGCGCCGGCUAACUACGUG
rnacentral:rRNA from 1 species